rnacentral:rRNA from 1 species
AUUGAACGCUGGCGGCAGGCCUAACACAUGCAAGUCGAACGGUAACAGGAUGUGCUUGCACAUCGCUGACGAGUGGCGGACGGGUGAGUAAUGCUUGGGAACUUGCCUUUGCGAGGGGGAUAACAGUUGGAAACGACUGCUAAUACCGCAUAAUGUCUUCGGACCAAACGGGGCUUAGGCUCCGGCGCAAAGAGAGGCCCAAGUGAGAUUAGCUAGUUGGUAAGGUAACAGCUUACCAAGGCGACGAUCUCUAGCUGUUCUGAGAGGAAGAUCAGCCACACUGGGACUGAGACACGGCCCAGACUCCUACGGGAGGCAGCAGUGGGGAAUAUUGCACAAUGGGGGAAACCCUGAUGCAGCCAUGCCGCGUGUGUGAAGAAGGCCUUCGGGUUGUAAAGCACUUUCAGUUGUGAGGAAAAGUUAGUAGUUAAUACCUGCUAGCCGUGACGUUAACAACAGAAGAAGCACCGGCUAACUCCGUGCCAGCCGCCGCCGAAUAAAC